rnacentral:rRNA from 1 species
CCGGGGCAUCCCGGAGGCAGGAAAGGCUUCGGCCGGACAGGGAUGGGCAUGCGGCGCAUUAGGCAGUAGGCGGGGUAACGGCCCACCUAACCGACGAUGCGUAGGGGUUCUGAGAGGAAGGUCCCCCACACUGGUACUGAGACACGGACCAGACUCCUACGGGAGGCAGCAGUGAGGAAUAUUGGUCAAUGGUCGGGAGACUGAACCAGCCAAGCCGCGUGAGGGAGGAAGGUACAGAGUAUCGUAAACCUCUUUUGUCAGGGAACAAAGACUGGGACGCGUCCCCGGAUGAGUGUACCUGAAGAAAAAGCAUCGGCUAACUCCGUGCCAGCAGCCGCGGUAAUACGGAGGAUGCGAGCGUUAUCCGGAUUUAUUGGGUUUAAAGGGUGCGCAGGCGGUCUGUUAAGUCAGCGGUCAAAGCCCGGGGCUCAACCCCGGCCCGCCGUUGAAACUGGCAGUCUCGAGUUGGAGAGAAGUAUGCGGAAUGCGCGGUGUAGCGGUGAAAUGCAUAGAUAUCGCGCAGAACUCCGAUUGCGAAGGCAGCAUGCCGGCUCCACACUGACGCUGAGGCACGAAAGCGUGGGUAUCGAACAGGAUUAGAUACCCCGGUAGUCCACGCAGUAAACGAUGAAUGCUGGCUGUCCGGG